UACGGGGGGGGGCAAGCGUUGUUCGGAAUUACUGGGCGUAAAGGGCUCGUAGGUGGCCAACUAAGUCGGACGUGAAAUCCCUCGGCUUAACCGGGGAACUGCGUCCGAUACUGGUUGGCUUGAGUUUGGGAGAGGGAUGCGGAAUUCCUGGUGUAGCGGUGAAAUGCGCAGAUAUCAGGAGGAACACCAGCGGCGAAGGCGGCGCUCUGGGCCGGAACUGACGCUGAGGAGCGAAAGCGUGGGGAGCAAACAGG
rnacentral:rRNA from 1 species